GCUCGCUUCUGAUCACGGGAUCGUUGUUAAUCAUCGUUAUCGGUGUACCACGAAACCGUCAACCGAUUCAUAGCGACGAGAAACCGAUAUUAUUGUCGCACAGUGAGUGUUGGGUAACGCCCGGACAAGUAUUUUGGUAGAAUCAUCGCGGUAUCAUCUUUGUCGCCGUCGUCUUCUUUGUCGUCGUCAUCGUGCAAACUAAGAGCCUGGUGUUUGCCGAAAGAUUGCGCGCAACAGUGUUGAUUUUCCCCAACUACCAAUAAGAAGAACAUAGCGAACCACUCUAUAUCUCUGUGUUGAAAGCGGCACGCAAGUAUAUACUUAUACACAGUGUCUUCUCUCGCUUCGCGACAACCUAUUCGAAGCAGGGGAUCCUCCAAUCGGAAAUUGCAGAAACUUGGUAUUUGCUUCUAUCAUCUUCUUUAGCGUUCGUACUCGGGAUUCACGAACGAUUCACGAACGAACUAACGGAUAUAUCGUUUCCGUAUCGUGUCGCGUGUGCGUAGAGCGCGUGUCAAGCGUGCAAUGAACGGCAACGGCAGACCUCAUGGAGAGAACAGAGGACGAAAUGGCCACGUGCUUGUGUGGGAACAACCUGGCCUGGAGGAAGAGGAGUCACCUGCGCGAAUACGUAAAACAUUGGUGGGGUCGCGUCACAUAGUGACACUGAUGUUGUUCUUCGGUAUGGCGAACGCUUAUGUGAUGAGAACGAAUAUGUCCGUGGCGAUCGUCGCAAUGGUCAAUCACACCUCCAUCACGGAGAGCAAGGAACCUGUGUUGAACGAGUGCAAGCACGAGAACAAUGCGAACAAUGAUUCUUCUUCCUUCAGCUUAGCCAACCAUGACGGAGAGUUUCAUUGGGACAGCACCAUGCAGGGUUACUUGCUCAGCUCGUUCUUCUACGGUUACGUCAUCACGCAAAUACCAUUCGGAAUACUCGCGAAACGUUACGGAUCGAAAUACUUUCUUGGCAUCGGUAUGCUGAUCAAUUCGAUGUUUGGACUGCUGGUCCCUGUGUCCGCACGUGCCGGUUACCAUUGGCUGAUGAUCGUUCGAUUUAUUCAAGGUUUGGGCGAGGGUCCUAUUGUGCCUUGCACACACGCGAUGCUGGCCAAGUGGAUACCGCCUAAUGAACGUAGUAGAAUGGGAGCCUUCGUAUACGCUGGCGCUCAGUUCGGUACUGUUAUUUCAAUGCCUUUGAGCGGUGUCCUGUCACGGCAUGGAUUCGAUGGCGGCUGGCCCUCCAUCUUUUACGUAUUCGGCGCCGUUGGCACCAUCUGGUGUAUAGCAUUUCUACUCAUGAUCUACGAGGACCCGGAAAGCCAUCCUCGUAUAGCCGAAGACGAGAAGAAGUACAUCCUGAGUGCCUUGUGGGGCAACGCCGGGGCCUCUUCUCCACCAGUGCCAUGGUUUUCGAUCGUUACAUCGUUACCGUUCUGGGCCAUCCUUAUAGCGCACAUGGGUCAAAAUUACGGAUACGAAACGUUGAUGACCGAGCUACCGACAUUCAUGAAACAAAUCUUGAACUUCGACAUCGAAUCGGUAAAUAAGAGGAUGGGAAGAAAACGGCACCGUUUCCGCCCUUCCUUACCUAGCCAUGUGGAUAUUCUCGAUGUUGAUCUCUCACGUGGCCGACUGGAUGAUCUCCAGCGGAAAAUUCAAUCACACUUUCACGCGAAAAAUCGUGAACAGUAUAGGUCAGUUCGGGCCAGCGAUCGCCCUAGCUGCCGCCUCCUAUACAGGAUGCACUUCCUGGUUGACGGUCACCAUUCUCACGAUCGGCGUAGGGUUAAACGGUGGUAUUUAUUCCGGAUUCAAAGUAAAUCAUUUAGAUAUCUCGCCGAGAUUUGCCGGCAUAUUGAUGUCGUUUACCAAUUGCUUGGCUAACUUGGCCGGUUUAUUGGCCCCUAUCACGGCCGGAUACAUAAUCGUUGGACCGCCAACUCAUGCCAAAUGGAGGCUCGUCUUCAUGAUCUCGGCCGGCGUUUACAUCGCCUGUGCCACGUUUUACGUGAUAUUCGGCUCGGGACAACGGCAACCGUGGGACAAUCCUGACAAGGACGAAGAGAGGCAACACGAGAAAC
rnacentral:misc_RNA from 1 species